rnacentral:rRNA from 1 species
UACGGAGGGUGCAAGCGUUAUCCGGAUUCACUGGGUUUAAAGGGUGCGUAGGAGGGCAGGUAAGUCAGUGGUGAAAUCUCCGAGCUUAACUUGGAACUGCCGUUGAUACUAUCUGUCUUGAAUACCGUGGAGGUGAGCGGAAUAUGUCAUGUAGCGGUGAAAUGCUUAGAUAUGACAUAGAACACCAAUUGCGAAGGCAGCUCACUACACGCAUAUUGACUCUGAGGCACGAAAGCGUGGGGAUCAAACAGG